UUACACCUCAUUAUUUAUUUUCACUUUACUGCAGUGUUUGCGAGAAACGUCUGGAAGAAACCAGAGAGAUAUAAAAGAAGACGACGAGGAGGAGAGAUUCAGUUGCAGAGCCACGGAAGAAGAAGAAGAAGAAUGACCAGGACGAGAAGAAGAAGAAUAACAACAACAACUGCAACAUGACCACCGCCCUCCUCCUCAUCACACAGCUAGUUGUUGAUCCGAGAAGUUAAAGUGAUGAUGACAAGCAGGUUGGACUCAGAGACACGGACCAGUUAAAGAUUAUUUAAAGAAAAGAAAAAUACAUCUUGAUUCAGACGUGUUUGUGACUCUUCAGGGGAAUUUCAUUUACAACAAAAAACAAACAAACAAACAAACAAAAACAGCAUAAAACCCUCAAAACAUAAAAACUAAACCACAUCAAACUAAACUGAACACAGCCGAAACUAAAAUAUAAUAUAAAAAGUAGACUUUACCCUUUAAUGUCCGGCACAACCAACUCCCUGUAUGUGAACGAAAAAUUAAAAUUAAAAAUAUGUUGAAUCUAACCCAACCUGACUCUAACGCCGAGGUUAGUGUGGAAUAAUAAAUAAUAAAAGCCACAGACAGAAGAGGCAGACGUAAGGAUGGUUUUUAUAGUUAUACUUGCUUUAUUCAGCAUAAUACAGUUUCAAAAACCUCAUUGAAUAGAGUUAUGUAACUUAUUCCAGGUCUAAUAAAGACCAAAUUAUUUUCUAAAAACAUUAUUUGUUUAUAUAUGUUUAAGUAUCUACAUCUUACUACCACUUUAGCAGAUUAUUUUUUUUUUCAGUUUGAAAAAUAAAAGAUGGGGAAAAAAUAUAGUGUAUAUAUAAUAUAUAUAAAUAUAAUAUAUAAUAUAAUUUGACCAGAUUUUAACUCCUGAUGGCGUAAAGACCCCACCCAGAGCUCUGAGCGGUGACUCAACGCGUCUCACCCCACAGACCGUGUGUUUAGUGAUAAUCAACAAUGCAAUGACGAAAUCUGGUGAAAGUCUUUAUGCUGCUGCACGUCAGCACACAUGAACAAGUCUUUUCUUUGAAGCUUUUCAUUUCUAAAUGUUUUGUUUGUUUGUUUUUCUAAAUGUACUUAACACUGAAUAAUUCAAAACAUUAUAAUGAUGAGACUCCUGAACCGGUAGAAGCCUUUAUUGAUUUAUUGUUUUUGUUUGUUUUCAUUUUCAGCUGUUGAUUAUUAUUGCCCAAAGCUAUUUUUUUGUUGCUUUUUUUUUUCUUAGGACACUAAAGGGUUAAAGAUGUAUAAUUAUUAUAUUAUUGGUUUUAACAUUAACUGCUGCUUCUGACCAUAGGAAUGAAUUCUCAUCUUUUGGUGACUUGGAAAAAGAAAAAUACAAAAAAAGUAAAAUACAUUUUUGUUUUUGAAACUGCCUAAUUAGCAAAAGUGACCUGAUGUAUUCAAACGUGUUGUCGUCAUGUUCUUAAAGAGGUUCGUUCACAUUACUCACACCUCCAGAUCUUAUGAGAGGCUUCACCAGAGUAGAUUCAUUCAGCUUCAUGUGUAAACUGUGGCCCCAGAACACACACAAGAGUGUGAAAUAUUAAUGAUGAUGAAGCAACAGUGAUAUGUGUCUGCACUCACGUUGUCUCCGUUUCAAUAACUGAGACACUACUGCCACCUGCUGGUUGAAUGAGGUCCUUCACUUUAAAAGAGGUUGAACACUUCAUUCACUUUUUUUUGUUUUGGAUUAACUGACAUGGCUUUAUAUUAUUAUUAUUAUUAAUAAUAAUAAUUAUUUUAUAUUAUUAUUCACUGUUUUUGUUUAAUUUACUCAUGCACUAAUGGUUUAAACUCACACAGGUAAAUUAAUACAAUAGUUGAAUUCUCACUAAAUCAAAAUUUUCUUUAGUAAAUAUUUGAUCUUGACUCAUAAAAAAAUUACAUUAAAAAAAAAAAACUGUUGUUCCCAGAUCCACCCCAUUCAGCUUCACUCCACCCUAAAACACAAACCACUCGAAUAAGGCUCAAGGUUAUAAUUCUCUAUCUGCUCUGUUUUUAUUUCAUGUCCAUGAUGAUCAGAUCAGACCUGAUAUUUCUAUGAAAACGUAUAAGCGAGUGAGUCGGUUUCUGUUCACUGUAUCAGUAUUUUGACAUAAAAUAUAAUGAAAUUAAAUGUGUAUCAUGGUCGUUGAGGAGGUUCAGUGUCUCAUAUGUAUUUAAGCAUCAAUGAGGACACGUGUUUGGAAAGAUGAAAGCGUAUAUACACAGUGGAGGGGGAAAAGUUUUCAGAAACCCAUAAAAUUUUAUCUUGAAAUAUUUUGUAUAAAAAGACACAAACAAACAAAUACAAAUUAUAUUUUGUUUAUCGUUUACAAGAAAAACUAACAAAACUAGUUAGAGUAGAGCUCUAAUCCUGGCUGGCUUUUUUUGGAUUGCGUUUUGAAAAAGACCUUUUGAUAAUCCACCACAGAUUUUCAAUGGGGCUCAUGUCCAGGUUUGUGUAUAUACAGUAUUUAUAUUUAUAUAUAUAUUUUUUGCCUUAACCAAUUCUGAUCUCGGACCCAAAUCAGUCAUUAAUAUUUCUGUCUGUAAAUGUCUGAUCUCUGUGGGAUGUUCUUCUAUUAUUACAUCAUAUUAAAUUCACUUUAGUAAAUAUGCAGACUCAUUAUGCUUUCAACUUUAAAUGUUUCAUCAAAAUCUAUUUUCUGCUGGAAGCUUCUGGGUUUUGAUCAUUUUUUUUUUUUUUUGCCACCAUGAAAAAAGAGUUUUCCACGCUUUAAAAUGUUAAGUUUAACUUUGCUGGAUGUACUGACGAUGAAACACAAGCUCUGUCUGCAGACUUGAGGUUUUUCUGUCCUGUCUCUUGAGUUUUUUUUUUUCUUCUUCUUCUUCUGUUUGAAACACAAGGAAAUCUGAUGCAGCUGGAUUUAAAUGAAGGUCCUAACAUUAGAUUCUGACUCGUCGUCCUCUGAGACGACGCCACAAAUGGAGGAAGCGCCAUGGUUGAUGUGGUUCUUAAUACAUUUCAAGCAAAUUUAUAAUCAGGACACAUAUGCAGUGAGAAAUGUCUUAAACCUGUCGCUUUGAGGUAUAAAAACAUGUAGCAGCUGCUUCGAGAUGAUCAAAUACUUUUUAACUGCUCCUGAAAUCAUCAGAGAAUAAUGUUUUAAACUGAAGAAGACUCUUCUACUGUUCAGUAUCUAGAAAUAAAUUCAUUGUUUGGCUGUAAAAGCUGUGAAAAUACAUUAAAGCCGCUGUUGAAUUAGAAAUGUUAUUGGCAUUUAUUUAGAGGUUUAACUGUUAUUCUGGGAAAAAUCAUUUAGUUUUAUAGAAUAAGAAAGGACAAAUCAAUAAAAUCAACUACUGAUAAAUAGCAGUGGGACUCAUUUUCCUGCCUCAGUUCCCUUAUAAAUAAUAAAAUUAAUAAUUAUUAAUUAAAUUAAUAAUUAUUAGUUUAUAUGUGAAGCCUUUUAAUUCCGUGUAUUUCUUCUAAAAUGAUUCCAAUUCAGUGCAAAUAACAGUUACUUCACUGUGGAUUUAUUUCAACUUAAGUGCAUAUCUGCACCAUAACCCUUUACAACACAUCCCUUUCCACACAUUCAGAAAAUAAUAAAUUAAAUUAGAAAAUAAUGUUUGUUGAGGGGGAUCAAUAUAGUAUAUCAAAUGAUAUGAAAAAAAAAAAUGUAUAUAUAUCACUUGACUGAGGGCGAGCAAAGUAAUCAAAACUAACAGCAGACUUACCUCCAUCUUUCCUAACUUACUAACGUCAGGGUUCUGCUGCCUCUGUAGUCAGACCCUGAGCAAACUCUCUCUCUUUCACACUCACUCCGGUUUCCCCAGACUCGCCUGCGCCUGUAUCACAAUAAAAAUCAAUAAUCUGCAAGGCUCUAGCAUGUUUGACAUGGAAAACACAAUUUGUGAGUGAAUCAAUUAAAAUAUUUUCAAUGGCAACAUAUGCAAUUUAUUCCAUAUUACUUUCAAACUAUUCACUUUCUUAUUUUUAAUGAUAAUUUGGACAUAAAAGUAGUUGUAGAACUACUUUACGAAGACUUCUGAUCAAUUAAAGUCGGUUUUAAUAAUAUAGUGGUGAAGAGCAUUUUUCAGAAGGUCUACACAACAGUCUUCAUUAUAUUAAUUCUAAUAAUAUUCCUACCUGCCCACUCUAGACCUGCUCAUGGCAGGUGUUUGGUGCUGCUGCAUCUUGAUUCUGAGGGGGGUGCAAGACAAAGUUUCCCAGUCAUGUGGUAAACCCGUACUGUUUUUAUUUUCCAUUUUGCUAAAUGACUUUGCUGUCAUUGGAUGCACCUCUGGGGGCGGAGCCAGGCUACAAACGCCAAACACUGUCGCCAGGCUGCGUCUGAAAAAAAAAUAAAUAAGAAAAAAUGCAGCCCAAGGACAGCAGUAAGAGCAAACAAGUAUUACCCACUCAGUACCAUGAAUGAAGACUGGCUCAAAAGAAAUAGAUAAAACCAGGAAUUGUCCCGUUCCUCACGAUUAGCGACUCAUGAAAGUGUCUGAUGGAUAAUUAUGUAUUUUUUCUUUUGUUGAAUGAAUAUAAAUAACCUUCACUAAUUGAAUUCUAUUUAGUUGCCUUUACUGUUCGGCUAAAUUGUGACUUAAAAGGGGAUUUUAUUUUAAAUCAGUCCUCAGUUUAACAGAGUAGAAGUUUAACACUGAAGCUGCUUUGAUUUAACAGUGAAUCAUGUCAGUUCACAUGAGAAGAGACAAAGAGAUGGAAGGAUUUGCAAUUAACUAAAAAGAGGCACAGCAUGAUGAAAAAUGGCCCCAAACUGAUAUUAACCAGUGAAAAAUAUACAGAUAUUGAGACAAAGAGGCAAAAUGACUGAAGAGAAAUAAAUUAACCAGGAAAAAAAGAUGCAAACAACUACAAGGAGACACAACAUGGAGUAAAGCGAUGGGAAAGAUUCAAAAUGUAAAGAGGAACAAAAGAACCACGAAUAGAUGAUCAAUUACAUGGGUCCCCAAAAUGACAGGAUGACAAAAUGCAAACAGCAACUAAGA